rnacentral:rRNA from 1 species
UACGGGGGAUGCAAGCGUUAUCCGGAAUCACUGGGCGUAAAGCGUCUGUAGGUGGCUUAAAAAGUCUGUUGUUAAAUCUUAGGGCUUAACCCUGAACAAGCAGUAGAAACUCUUAGGCUGGAGUAUGGUAAGGGUAGAGGGAAUUCCCAGUGUAGCGGUGAAAUGCGUAGAUAUUGGGAAGAACACCAGUGGCGAAAGCGCUCUGCUAGGCCAUUACUGACACUCAGAGACGAAAGCUAGGGGAGCAAAUGGG